rnacentral:rRNA from 1 species
GACGAACGCUGGCGGCGUGCUUAACACAUGCAAGUCGAACGGAAAGGCCCUGCUUGCCGGGUACUCGAGUGGCGAACGGGUGAGUAACACGUGGGUGAUCUGCCCUGCACUUCGGGAUAAGCCUGGGAAACUGGGUCUAAUACCGGAUAUGACCUUCCAUGUAGUGUGGGGGGUGGAAAGAUUUAUCGGUGUGGGAUGAGCCCGCGGCCUAUCAGCUUGUUGGUGGGGUAAUGGCCUACCAAGGCGUUGACGGGUAGCCGGCCUGAGAGGGUGGACGGCCACAUUGGGACUGAGAUACGGCCCAGACUCCUACGGGAGGCAGCAGUGGGGAAUAUUGCACAAUGGGCGGAAGCCUUAUGCAGCGACGCCGCGUGGGGGAUGACGGCCUUCGGGUUGUAAACCUCUUUCGACAGGGACGAAGCUUCGGUGACGGUACCUGUAGAAGAAGCACCGGCUAACUACGUG